GUGUCAGCAGCCGCGGUAAUACGUAGGUUGCGAGCGUUAUUCGGAUUUACUGGGCGUAAAGAGCACCGAGGUGGCUUCUUAAGUUGGAUGUAAAAUCUCCUGGCUUAACUGGGAGGCGCCAUUCAAAACUGAGGAGCUUGAGGUCAGCAGGGGAAGGUGGAAUUCCCGGUGUAGUGGUGGAAUGCGUAGAGAUCGGGAGGAACACCAGUGGCGAAAGCGACCUUCUGGGCUGCACCUGACACUCUAGUGCGAAAGCGUGGGGAGCAAACAGGAUUAGAUACCCUGGUAGUCCACGCCCUAAACGAUGGAUACUAGGUGUGGGAGGUAUUGACCCCUUCCGUGCCGAAGCCAACGCGUUAAGUAUCCCGCCUGGGGACUACGGCCGCAAGGUUAAA
rnacentral:rRNA from 1 species